rnacentral:tRNA from 1 species
UGGGGUGUCGCCAAGCGGUAAGGCAACGGGCUUUGACUCCGUCAUUCGUAGGUUCGAAUCCUGCCUCCCCAGCCA